rnacentral:rRNA from 1 species
AGGGGUGAAAGGCCAAUCAAACUCCGUGAUAGCUGGUUCUCCCCGAAAUGCAUUUAGGUGCAGCGUUGCGUGGUUCUUGUUGGAGGUAGAGCACUGGAUGGUCUAGGGGGCUUAUCGGCUUACCGAAAUCAGCCAAACUCCGAAUGCUGGCAAGUGUAGCGUGGCAGUGAGACGGCGGGGGAUAAGCUUCGUCGUCGAGAGGGAAACAGCCCAGAUCAUCAGCUAAGGCCCCUAAGUGGUGACUCAGUGGGAAAGGAUGUGGAGUUGCGUAGACAACCAGGAGGUUGGCUUGGAAGCAGCCAUCCUUGAAAGAGUGCGUAAUAGCUCACUGGUCAAGUGAUUCCGCGCCGACAAUGUAGCGGGGCUCAAGUACACCGCCGAAACCGUGGCAUUCAGUUUUGCUGGAUGGGUAGGGGAGCGUCGUUCACGAGGUGAAGCCAGCGGGUAACUUCUGGUGGAUUGUGGACGAGUGAGAAUGCAGGCAUGAGUAGCGAAAGACGGGUGAGAAACCCGUCCGCCGGAUGACUAAGGGUUCCAGGGUCAAGCUAAUCUGCCCUGGGUAAGUCGGGACCUAAGGCGAGGCCGACAGGCGUAGUCGAUGGGUAACCAGUUGAUAUUCUGGUACCGGCUUGUCACCGUCCGUGUCGAGGUGUGUGAUGCUAAGCAUGUGAGCUUGUCUUGGGAGUGUUUUUGAUGCUUCUGGGGUGGGUGAGUGUGUGAACCGAUCAUGUAGUAGGCAAGCUGCGGAGGGACGCAGUGAGGUAGCUCAUCCCCGGUGAUGGUUGUCCGGGGCUAAGUGUGUGGACUGUCUGGUAGGUAAAUCCGCUGGGCGUGAAGGUUGAGGCAUGAUGGGGAGCCCACGGUUGUGGGUGAGUGAGUGAUCCUGUACUGUCGAGAAAAGCUUCGUGAGCGAGGUGGCGGGUCCGCCCGUACCCUAAACCGACACUGGUGGAUAGGUAGAGUAUACCGAGGCGAUCGAGUGAAUCGUGGUGAAGGAACUCGGCAAAAUGCCCCCGUAACUUUGGGAUAAGGGGGACCUGAGCUGUCGUGCACCCGUGCGGUGUGGUGGCGGUGAGGGGCGCAGAGUCCAGGGGGAAACGACUGUUUACCAAAAACACAGGUCCGUGCGAAGUCGUAAGACGAUGUAUACGGACUGACUCCUGCCCGGUGCUGGAAGGUUAAGGGGAACUGUGAGUGUAUGCGUAGCGGUGAACUUAAGCCCCAGUAAACGGCGGUGGUAACUAUAACCAUCCUAAGGUAGCGAAAUUCCUUGUCGGGUAAGUUCCGACCUGCACGAAUGGCGUAACGACUUCCCCGCUGUCUCCAGCAUAGACUCAGUGAAAUUGAAUUCCCCGUGAAGAUGCGGGGUUCCUGCGGUCAGACGGAAAGACCCCGUGCACCUUUACUACAGCUUCACACUGGCAUUCGUCACGACAUGUGUAGGAUAGGUGGUAGGCGUCGAAGCAGGAGCGCCAGCUCUUGUGGAGCCACCCUUGAAAUACCACCCUUGUCGUCAUGGAUGUCUAACCGCGGCGCAACAACGUCCGGGACAGUGUGUGGCGGGUAGUUUGACUGGGGCGGUCGCCUCCCAAAUGGUAACGGAGGCGCGCGAUGGUGGGCUCAGAACGGUCGGAAAUCGUUCGACGAGUGCAAUGGCAUAAGCCCGCCUGACUGCGAGACUGACAAGUCGAGCAGAGACGAAAGUCGGUCAUAGUGAUCCGGUGGUCCCUCGUGGAAGGGCCAUCGCUCAACGGAUAAAAGGUACGCCGGGGAUAACAGGCUGAUGAUUCCCAAGAGUCCAUAUCGACGGAAUCGUUUGGCACCUCGAUGUCGGCUCAUCACAUCCUGGGGCGGUAGUACGUCCCAAGGGUUGGGCUGUUCGCCCAUGAA